rnacentral:misc_RNA from 1 species
AAAAGUCGUAACAAGGUUUCCGUAGGUGAACCUGCGGAAGGAUCAUUAUUGAAUUCAAAUCAUCUGUGGCUUCGGUCCGGAUUUGCCAACAGGUAACACUGUUGGUAAUUCUAUCCAUAACACCUGUGAACUGUUGGAUGCUUGCAUCCACUUUUAUACUAAACAUUAUUGUAACAAAUGUAGUCUUAUUAUAACUAAUAAAACUUUUAACAACGGAUCUCUUGGCUCUCG